CCAAUAGCGUAUAUUAAAGUUGUUGCAGUUAAAAAGCUCGUAGUUGAAUUUCGGGGUUAGUAGGUUGGUCAUGCCUCUGGUAUGUACUGGUCUCACUGAUUCCUCCUUCCUUAUGAACCGUAAUGCCAUUAAUUUGGUGUUGCGGGAAAUUUGGACUGUUACUUUGAAAAAAUUAGAGUGUUUAAAGCAAGCUAACGCUUGAAUACAUUAGCAUGGAAUAAUGAAAUAGGACGUUCGAUCUUAUUUUGUUGGUUUCUAGGAUUGACGUAAUGAUUAAUAGGGAUAGUUGGGGGCAUUAGUAUUCAAUUGUCAGAGGUGAAAUUCUUGGAUUUAUUGAAGACUAACUACUGCGAAAGCAUUUGCCAAGGAUGUUUUCAUUACUCAAGAACGAAAGUUAGGGGAUCGAAGACGAUCAGAUACCGUCGUAGUCUUAACCAUAAACUAUGCCGACUAGGGAUCGGAUGAUGUUAAUUUUUUAAUGACUCAUUCGGCGCCUUACG
rnacentral:rRNA from 1 species